rnacentral:rRNA from 1 species
UUGUCUAUAGUUUUUUUUUUAUAGAUAAUUUCUGCCCGGUGAUUUUUAACGGCCGCGGUACUCUGACCGUGCAAAGGUAGCAUAAUCAUUUGCUCUUUUAUUGGGGGCUGGAAUGAAUGGCAUAACGAGAUUCUGUCUGUCUCUUUUUUUUAAGUAGAAUUUGCUAUUUUUGUGAAGAAGCAAAAUUAUAAAAGAAGGACAAGAAGACCCUAUUAAGCUUUACCUUUUUUCUUAUUUAUUUUAAAAAGUAUCUAGGGGCAAGGUUUAGUUGGGGUGAUUGAAAAAGAAAAAAUCUUUUUUUAGAACAGGAAACUUGAUUGGUUUGAGAGUGGGCCAAAAGAUUUUGAGAGAAAGAAAAAGUUACUAUAGGGAUAACAGCGUAAUUUUUUCUGAGAGUUCGUAUUGAAGAGAAAGGUUGCGACCUCGAUGUUGACUUAUUGUAUCCGUUAGGUGUAGAAGCUUUUAGGGUUAGUCUGUUCGACUAUUAAAACAAU